GCGCCGCGUCGCUCACCUGCCGCGAGGGGCGCGGCGUCGGUCGCCCGCCACACGCGGAGCGACUGUUCCUCGUGGAGCGUCAGGCGAUUCAGCGCAACAUUGACGGGAACAGUCCGCUGUGGGAACUGCGACCACGGCACCUGAGACGCCAGCAGUUUGUGACAAUCGUGGUUUUGGAAGGAACUGCGUAGGACACAGGCCCAGACGUCCGCUACGUUGAAGCGGUCCAAGCGCUCGCUUCGAACCCUGCACGACGCUGGGGAAGCACUCGCUCCACUCCAGCCCCCAGGCACCGCUGCCUCACUGCAGAUCCAGCCAAGCACCGCUGUCUGCAGACUGUUUUAUAACCUCUGGCUCUUUCUCUAAACAGCACAUGAUCGCGUCUCUGUAUAAAUGUGAGAAUUAGAGGCUGUUUAUUCAACGUGUUUGUCUGAAAAUGUGGCGUCCAUUAAAGCCCAGCGUUAAAAGGUGA